CUGUUGUCACCCCCACAGUGUCACCCCUGCUGUGUCACCCUCGUGGUGUCACCCUCAAGGUGUCACCCUCAAGGUGUCACCCGGCCCUGCUGUGUCACUGUCAUGGUGUCACCCUGGUGUCACCCUCACGGUGUCACUGUUACCGUGUCACCCUCACGGUGUCACCCCUGCGGUGUCACCCUCGUGUCACUCCCACGGUUUCACCCUCACGGUGUCACCCUCGCAGUGUCACCCCCGUGGUGUCACCCCCAUGGUGUCACCCGGCCCUGCUGUGUCACCCCCGCGGUGUCACCUCGAUUGUGUCACCCUCGCAGUGUCACCGUCACGGUGUCACCCUCACGGUGUCACCCUCAAUGUGUCACCCCCAUGGUGUCACCCUCGCGGUGUCACCUCGAUUGUGUCACCCCCACGGUGUCACCCCCAUGGUGUCACCCUCGUGUUGUCACCCCCGUGGUGUCACAGCCGCUGGGGCGGUGUCACAGCUGUCACCGUCACACAGACACGGGGUCACCCCGCCCACGGCACACACGGCGUCAGUGUCACACACAGCGUCACACACAGGUGUCACACAGACAGGUGUCACACACACAGGUGUCACACACAGCGUCACACAGACAGGUGUCCACAGGUGUGUCUCAGGUGUGUCACACACACAGGUGUCCCCAGUUGUCCCCAGGUGUCCUGAGGUGUCACACAGGUACCCCAGGUGUCACACAGGUGUGUCUCAGGUGUGUCCCCAGCUGUCCCCAGGUGUCCCCAGGUGUGUCUCAGGUGUGUCUCAGGUGUUCCCAGGUGUCCCCAGGUGUGUCACACACACACAGGUGUCACACAGGUGUCACACAGGUGUCACACAGGUGUCCCCAGAUGUGUCCCCAGGUGUCACACAGAUGUCACACACACACACAGGUGUCACACAGAUACCCCAGGUGUGUCCCAGGUGUCCCCAGGUGUGUCCCAGGUGUCACACAGGUGACACACACACACACAGGUGCCCCCAGGUGUGUCCCAGGUGUGUCCCAGGUGUGUCUGAGGUGUUCCCAGAUGUCCCCAGGUGUGUCACAGGUGUCCCCAGGUGUGUUCCAGGUGUCACACAGGUGUCACACACACACAGGUGUCACACAGGUGUUACACAGGUGUCACACAGAUACCCCAGGUGUGUCCCAGGUGUCACACAGGUGUCACACAGGUGUCACACCCACCCCCACAGCUUCCUGGCCGCCGGGGGUUACGUCC
rnacentral:lncRNA from 1 species